UACGAAGGGUGCAAGCGUUACUCGGAAUUACUGGGCGUAAAGCGUGCGUAGGUGGUUUGUUAAGUCUGAUGUGAAAGCCCUGGGCUCAACCUGGGAAUUGCAUUGGAUACUGGCAGGCUAGAGUGCGGUAGAGGAUGGCGGAAUUCCCGGUGUAGCAGUGAAAAUGCGUAGAGAUCGGGAGGAACAUCUGUGGCGAAGGCGGCCAUCUGGACCAGCACUGACACUGAGGCACGAAAAGCGUGGGGGAGCAAAACAGGAUUAGAUUACCCGU
rnacentral:rRNA from 1 species